ensembl:snRNA U6 U6 spliceosomal RNA
GUGCUCGCUUUGGCAGCACAUAUACUAAAACUGCAACUGUGCAGCGAAGAUUAGCAAGGCACCUGCUCAAGGACGACACACAAACUCAUGAAGUAUUCCAUAUUUUU